AGCUGACCCAGCUAAGCCAAUCGGAGUCCAGCUGACCCAGCUAAGCCAAUCGGAGUCCUCCAGUUGCGGCACUAAAUUUGGAAAGGAGCUGUUGGGGACCUCACAGGGCUUUUCGAGGAUCGCGCUCUGGUCUGGAGGUCACAGCUGCCGCGCCUGAGGGGGUGAAAAAGUCGGAAGAUUCAUCCCACUCUCCCGCUCAGUGUGGCGUUGUUCGCUCGAGGCUUCGGUUCCGCCAUGUUCGCUCUCAGAAUCCGCAUCGCUCGCUCAUUGCAUUAAUUCCUGAGAUCAGGAAGUAAGCUCUCAGAUACUGCUCCAACACUAUGUCUGCCUGCCUGUCACCAUACUCCUCACCUUGAUGGUCGUGGACUAAGCCUCUGAAACUGU